AGGGAUCAUUACCGAGUUUACAACUCCCAAACCCCUGUGAACAUACCAAUUGUUGCCUCGGCGGAUCAGCCCGCUCCCGGUAAAACGGGACGGCCCGCCAGAGGACCCCUAAACUCUGUUUCUAUAUGUAACUUCUGAGUAAAACCAUAAAUAAAUCAAAACUUUCAACAACGGAUCUCUUGGUUCUGGCAUCGAUGAAGAACGCAGCAAAAUGCGAUAAGUAAUGUGAAUUGCAGAAUUCAGUGAAUCAUCGAAUCUUUGAACGCACAUUGCGCCCGCCAGUAUUCUGGCGGGCAUGCCUGUUCGAGCGUCAUUUCAACCCUCAAGCCCCCGGGUUUGGUGUUGGGGAUCGGCGAGCCCUUGCGGCAAGCCGGCCCCGAAAUCUAGUGGCGGUCUCGCUGCAGCUUCCAUUGCGUAGUAGUAAAACCCUCGCAACUGGUACGCGGCGCGGCCAAGCCGUUAAACCCCCAACUUCUGAAUGUUGACCUCGGAUCAGGUAGGAAUACCCGCUGAACUUAAGCAUAUCAAA
rnacentral:rRNA from 1 species